rnacentral:rRNA from 1 species
UACGCAAGUCCCGAGCGUUGUCCGGAUUUAUUGGGCGUAAAGCGAGCGCAGGUGGUUUAUUAAGUCUGGUGUAAAAGGCAGUGGCUCAACCAUUGUAUGCAUUGGAAACUGGUAGACUUGAGUGCAGGAGAGGAGAGUGGAAUUCCAUGUGUAGCGGUGAAAUGCGUAGAUAUAUGGAGGAACACCGGUGGCGAAAGCGGCUCUCUGGCCUGUAACUGACACUGAGGCUCGAAAGCGUGGGGAGCAAACAGG